AGAUUAGCCAUGCAUGUCUAAGUAUAAGCACUUGUACUGUGAAACUGCGAAUGGCUCAUUAAAUCAGUUAUCGUUUAUUUGAUUGUACCUUACUACAUGGAUACCUGUGGUAAUUCUAGAGCUAAUACAUGCGAAAAGUCCCAACUUCUGGAAGGGAUGUAUUUAUUAGAUUAAAAACCAAUGCAAGUCUUCGGGCUCGUUUUCUUGGUGAUUCAUGAUAACUUUUCGAAUCGCAUGGCCUAGAGCCGGCGAUACUUCAUUCAAAUUUCUGCCCUAUCAACUGUCGAUGGUAAGGUAGUGGCUUACCAUGGUUAUAACGGGUGACGGAGAAUUAGGGUUCGAUUCCGGAGAGGGAGUCUGAGAAACGGCUACCACAUCUAAGGAAGGCAGCAGGCUCGAAAAUUACCCAAUCCCGACUCGGGGAGGUAGUGACAAGAAAUAACGAUACGGGGUCUUAAUAGGUCUCGCAAUUGGAAUGAGUACAAUUUAAAUCCUUUAACGAGGAUCAAUUGGAGGGCAAGUCUGGUGCCAGCAGCCGCGGUAAUUCCAGCUCCAAUAGCGUAUAUUAAAGUUGUUGCAGUUAAAAAGCUCGUAGUUGGAUUUCGGAGUGGGCCAGUUGGUCCGCCGCAAGGUGUGUUACUGACUGGUUUGCUCUUCUUCGCAAAGACUGCGUGUGCUCUUGAGUGAGUGUGCGUAGAAUUUACGACGUUUACUUUGAAAAAAUUAGAGUGUUCAAAGCAGGCUAUUGCUUGAAUACAUGAGCAUGGAAUAAUGGAAUAGGACUUUGGUCCCAUUUUGUUGGUUUCUAGGGCCGAAGUAAUGAUUAAGAGGGACAAUUGGGGGCAUCCGUAUUUCGUUGUCAGAGGUGAAAUUCUUGGAUUUACGAAAGACGAACAACUGCGAAAGCACUUGCCAAGAGUGUUUUCAUUAAUCAAGAACGAAAGUUAGAGGAUCGA
rnacentral:rRNA from 1 species